UUUUUUUUUAUUUAAUAUAUAAAAUAAACACAAUAAUUUGAACAAAAGAAUUCAAAAAUAUAUUGAACAAUGAAAAAGUAAUAAAAAAUGGAUUGAGGCAGCAAAGCAAGAUUUAUUUAUGAAGAGGUGGCUACUUUUUUCCAUUGCAUAACAAUUGACAAAUUUUGCACUAAAAAUGCCAAUAAUUAUAAGUUGGUGUUGCGAGUUCUUUUUUGAGGGGUUUGACAAGCUUCCCAUUCGAAAUCAAGUUUGAGUCUUUCAUCGUCUGUCAUCAUCUCCAUUAACAAUCUUUGAAGAUCUUCAAAACUGUCACCCCUCUAAUUACAAAACAAAAGCAUUAAUUCUCAAUUAACGCCUUAAUAAUAACAACAAAAUAGAAAUAUUAGCAAAAUUAAAGACGCUGUAAAUUUAUUACCUGUGGCUGUGACCUCACAUUUUCCAUCAUCAAAAGCAUUUCUUGCAUAAAAUCACAGAAGCCCUGUUUCAGAAAUUUCAUUAUUCAAUAUCCAAGAAUUAUCAUUAACGAAACCAAAAACUUCAUUUGUAUAUCUAAACAACUCACUUCAUCAUCAUCAUCAUCUCCAAGAAAACCCAACAUUCCAGCGUCGUAAAGUCUUUUCUUUCCUUUAUUUGAUAACACUGAAAAUUGAUCAUCUGUUAUCAGCAUUCACCAACAUAAAUUGCGCCAAAAUGAAAACGUAAAUUUUCUUUAACUAGUGUGGUACCUGAAUAAGCCUCUUGUAUUUGCUGAAACCGCCUUUUCGCCUGCCCAGCGACUGCAGGGUCUUUUAUCCACCGGUCUGGAUGCCAUUUCUUCAAAACCCACACACAAAUUUCAAAAACUCGUCAUGGAAAUCGUAGAAACCCAAAAAAAAAACGUUCUGAAACAAAACAAAGGAACCGAUAUUUACCAGAGCGAGCUUCCGAUAAGCAUCACGAAUCUCAGUAACCGAGGCCUGUUUACGUAAUCCAAGCACUGAAUAAUAACAAGGCUCGCUCUCAGCCAUUUUAUCAAGCAACAAAUGAAGGUACAAUAAUAGAAAUUCUGGGCUUGAUUUGGGGCUCUGGGGUUAACUUCUCAGGCUGGCCUGUGUGACUGGAGACUGAAAUAAUGCGCAUGCAAACAUGGGUUUCUGCG
rnacentral:misc_RNA from 1 species